GAUGAAGAACGCAGCGAAAUGCGAUACGUAAUGUGAAUUGCAGAAUUCAGUGAAUCAUCGAAUCUUUGAACGCAUAUUGCGCUCUCUGGUAUUCCGGAGAGCAUGCUUGUUUGAGUAUCAGUAAACACCUCAACUUCCAUAUCUUUUUUGAAAUGGGAGUUGGACUUGAGUGAUCCCAACGCUUUUCCUCACCGAAAAGUGGCGGGUUACUUGAAAUGCAGGUGCAGCUGGACUUUUCUCUGAGCUAUAAGCAUAUCUAUUUAGUCUGCCUAAAAAACAGAUUAUUACCUUUGCUGCAGCUAACAUAAAGGAGAUUAGUUCUUGUGCUGACUGAUGCAGGAUUCACAAAGACAGGCUUCGGCCGACUUUGUAAACUCUAUCUCAAAUCAAGUAAGACUACCCGCUGAACUUAAGCAUAUCAAUAAGCGGAGGA
rnacentral:misc_RNA from 1 species